rnacentral:rRNA from 1 species
CACGCAGGCGGUUGGAUAAGUUAGAUGUGAAAGCCCCGGGCUCAACCUGGGAAUUGCAUUUAAAACUGUCCAGCUAGAGUCUUGUAGAGGGGGGUAGAAUUCCAGGUGUAGCGGUGAAAUGCGUAGAGAUCUGGAGGAAUACCGGUGGCGAAGGCGGCCCCCUGGACAAAGACUGACGCUCAGGUGCGAAAGCGUGGGGAGCAAACA